rnacentral:rRNA from 1 species
UACGUAGGGGGCAAGCGUUGUCCGGAUUUAUUGGGCGUAAAGAGCGUGUAGGCGGCCAUACAGGUCAGCUGUGAAAACUCGAGGCUCAACCUCGAGACGUCGGUUGAAACCGUAUGGCUAGAGUCCGGAAGAGGAGAGUGGAAUUCCCGGUGUAGCGGUGAAAUGCGCAGAUAUCGGGAAGAACCCCCGUGGCGAAGGCGGCUCUCUGGGACGGUACUGACGCUUAGACGCGAAAGCGUGGGGAGCGAACCGG